ACGAACGCUGGCGGCGUGCUUAACACAUGCAAGUGGAGCGACGAACCGGGGCUUGCCCCGGGGCAGAGCCGCGAACGGGUGAGUAACACGUGGGUAACCUGCCUCAAUGAUUGGGACAACCCGGGGAAACUCGGGCUAAUACCAAAUGUGUUCACUCCUUCUAAGGGGAGUGAGGAAAGGAAGCUUCGGCCUCCGCAUUGAGAUGGGCCCGCGGCCCAUUAGCUUGUUGGUGAGGUAACGGCUCACCAAGGCUUCGAUGGGUAGCUGGUCUGAGAGGACGAUCAGCCACACUGGGACUGAGACACGGCCCAGACUCCUACGGGAGGCAGCAGUGGGGAAUCUUGCACAAUGCGCGAAAGCGUGAUGCAGCAACGCCGCGUGGGGAAGACGGCCUUCGGGUUGUAAACCCCUUUCAGUUGGGACGAAGCUUCGUCGGUGAAUAGCCGGUUGGAGUGACGGUACCUUCAGAAGAAGCCCCGGCUAACUACGUG
rnacentral:rRNA from 1 species